rnacentral:misc_RNA from 1 species
GAUGAAGAACGCAGCGAAAUGCGAUAAGUAAUGUGAAUUGCAGAAUUCAGUGAAUCAUCGAAUCUUUGAACGCACAUUGCGCCCGCCAGUAUUCUGGCGGGCAUGCCUGUCUGAGCGUCAUUUCAACCCUCGUGCCCCUAGGGCGUGGUGUUGGGGAUCGGCCAAAGCCCGCGAGGGACGGCCGGCCCCUAAAUCUAGUGGCGGACCCGUCGUGGCCUCCUCUGCGAAGUAGUGAUAUUCCGCAUCGGAGAGCGAUGAGCCCCUGCCGUUAAACCCCCAACUUUCCAAGGUUGACCUCAGAUCAGGUAGGAAUACCCGCUGAACUUAAGCAUAUCAAUAAGCGGAGGA